AACUUUGACUUAUAUCCUGGUCAUUUUGUUUAUAUUGUUUGGCGGGAAGAAACAAUAGCGUCGGUCGCCAUUUUCCUCCCAGGAAAACACGAAGUGAUGGUAUGUCAUGUUUUGUUGUUUUCUUGUUUUAGACAAAUAAUUCUAUAAUAAACUUAUUCAAAAAAUGUUCUACUGAGAAAGAAUAUUAUAAUUAACAAAGUACUCGACAUUUUUCUUCAAUAAUUAUUGUAUUUUACAUUAUUAUCAUAAUGAUACAUGUAGGCUAGGAUGUGGGUUGAUUGUGUUCAAGUAGAUUUUUGCAUAUUCAAUUUAUGCAAACAGUUCAAAUCGGACUUUGUCUAAAAUUCAACGAUGAUUAAAUACGUAUUAUUCUUUUACAACUCACAGUAUGGCAUGGACUCUCAACUACCACUGAAUGGACAAACAAAUCAAAAUACAAUAGCUUGUUACAAAUAGACAAGAUGAAAACCACAUUAGGUACACGAAGAUGUUACCAUGAAUAAAGAAAUAAGUUGACCCAUUUCUGACGAAAACAGCCAAACAAGAAGAAAACAGAACUGAUGAUGAUUUCAUUCCUAUGUGCCAUGUUUGCUAAGGACCUGUGAAAAAGAAUUUGUAAUGAUCAAAGAAGAAAACAACCAGUAAAUAUAUUCCACUGAGGUAGGAAAACAAAGCAACAACUGAAAGGGUGCAACAAGAGACUGUUACCUGAAGCUAUUUCUUUGAUUGAUUAGAAAUCAUUUACAAACAGUAAAAUUAAUUUGCUUGAAAAUACUAGUAUUUAAAUAUCUAAGUAUGCUAUAUAUGUAGGUGUAUAUGAUUUCUUUCAACUUUUUACAAUGUUUAUAAGCAAAUCUUAUGUUUUUUAUUAAGAUGAUCGGUUUAUACGUUUGUGUAUAUUUGGUGCUUGAAAUAUCCAUAUUUAUGAAACAAUUCUAUAAUAAAAAGUUCAAACAUUAGUUGUAUAAUUGUUAUAUUUUGUAUCUGAAGGGCAUUGAUGCGUGAUAAUCAAAAUGAUUUAACGCGCAUUGUCAUCAUGAUUUCCAAUAUCGUCAAAAUGCCUAGAAAUAUAACUAACUGAAAGUCAUUUUGAUAUGAAAUGAUAAUCAUUUUGAAUAUCGGAAUCUAUCAUUAUGACAAGAAUCCAGUCAAAUGAAAUCCUUACAGUGUACUCAUGGUGACUUUCAAUUAGUCAAGGUAGACUAUCGAGUCAGUCAGUAUGAUUUUUCUCGAGUCGUCAAAAUGAGCUCAACAUAUUGUCUAAUUGACUAACUGCACCCUCAUCUGGAGGACAAUCAAUCUGAUUAUUUUUUUAGGUCAUGGUGACUAA